CCCCCCCUUAUAAAACACAUGGUUGAGGGCCUGUUGCCCCCUGCGGUCACUAACUUGUCCAACAACUCAAACUCUAUAGGGUCUGGGAAAUGCAAUCCACUGCCUGGGAAAUGUUUAAAAUCUAAUAAGGUAUUUAUUAAACAUAAAAGACAGGACAUAAGAUUCACAAAGCAAAUUUAAGUUACUAGAAUAUCAAACCUGCCUUAUAAAUUCAAUGUUUUGCUUAUAUUUUAGAGAAAAGGGACUUUGACUGGGGGGGCCAAAAUGGUUGAGUGGGGGGGCCACCAUGGGGGCUGGGGGGGCUUUGGCCCCCCCAGUUAUAUAGUUAAAAAAUGCCCUGCUUUCAAUGGUCUUUCUAGGGCGCCAAAAAUGUCUUGGUACCGUGGUACAAUGUAAGUGUAAGGAACAAGCAUAAUUGUAGUAUUGCUUUGGGCCAUGCACCCUAAGAAAAAUUUUGAUUUCUAAAGUCCAUUUAACAUUAAUUCCUGCAUUUUGAGGCAAU